rnacentral:rRNA from 1 species
GAUGAACGCUGGCGGCGUGCCUAAUACAUGCAAGUCGAGCGAACAGAUGAGGAGCUUGCUCCUCUGACGUUAGCGGCGGACGGGUGAGUAACACGUGGAUAACCUACCUAUAAGACUGGGAUCACUUCGGGAAACCGGAGCUAAUACCGGAUAAUAUAUUGAACCGCAUGGUUCAAUAGUGAAAGACGGUUUUGCUGUCACUUAUAGAUGGAUCCGCGCCGCAUUAGCUAGUUGGUAAGGUAACGGCUUACCAAGGCAACGAUGCGUAGCCGACCUGAGAGGGGUAUCGGCCACACUGGAACUGAGACACGGUCCAGACUCCUACGGGAGGCAUCAGUAGGGAAUCUUCCGCAAUGGGCGAAAGCCUGACGGAGCAACGCCGCGUGAGUGAUGAAGGUCUUCGGAUCUUAAAACUCUGUUAUUAGGGAAGAACAAAUGUGUAAGUAACUAUGCACGUCUUGACGGUACCUAAUCAGAAAGCCACGGCUAACUACGUG